rnacentral:rRNA from 1 species
AUACGUAGGGGGCGAGCGUUGUCCGGAAUGAUUGGGCGUAAAGGGCGCGUAGGCGGCCCGGUAAGUCUGGAGUGAAAGUCCUGUUUUUAAGAUGGGAAUUGCUUUGGAUACUGUCGGGCUUGAGUGCAGGAGAGGUAAGUGGAAUUCCCAGUGUAGCGGUGAAAUGCGUAGAGAUUGGGAGGAACACCAGUGGCGAAGGCGGCUUACGGGACUGAAACCGACGCUGAGGCGCGAAAGUGUGGGGAGCAAACAGGAUUAGAUACCCUGGUAGUCCACACUGUAAACGAUGAAUGCUAGGUGUAGGGGGUAUCGACCCCUUCUGUGCCGCAGUCAACACAAUAAGCAUUCCGCCUGGGGAGUACGGCCGCAAGGUUGAAACUCAAAUGAAUUGGCGGGG